rnacentral:rRNA from 1 species
UACGUAGGUGGCAAGCGUUGUCCGGAAUUAUUGGGCGUAAAGCGCGCGCAGGUGGUUCCCUAAGUCUGAUGUGAAAGCCCACGGCUCAACCGUGGAGGGUCAUUGGAAACUGGGAGAACUUGAGUGCAGAAGAGGAUAGUGGAAUUCCAAGUGUAGCGGUGAAAUGCGUAGAGAUUUGGAGGAACACCAGUGGCGAAGGCGACUAUCUGGUCUGUAACUGACACUGAGGCGCGAAAGCGUGGGGAGCAAACAGG